AGUAGAAUGGCUGAUAAAUAAGCUAUAGGUUGUAACCCUAUUUAUGGAGAUUACCCUCUCCUUCUCCUA
rnacentral:tRNA from 1 species